rnacentral:rRNA from 1 species
UACGUAGGGUGCGAGCGUUAAUCGGAAUUACUGGGCGUAAAGCGUGCGCAGGCGGUUUUGUAAGCCGGAUGUGAAAUCCCCGGGCUUAACCUGGGAAUGGCAUUCGGGACUGCAAGGCUGGAGUGCGGCAGAGGAGACUGGAAUUCCUGGUGUAGCAGUGAAAUGCGUAGAUAUCAGGAGGAACACCGAUGGCGAAGGCAGGUCUCUGGGACGGUACUGACGCUGAGACGCGAAAGCGUGGGGAGCGAACAGG